rnacentral:rRNA from 1 species
GACGAACGCUGGCGGCGUGCUUAACACAUGCAAGUCGAACGGAAAGGCCCUGCUUUUGUGGGGUGCUCGAGUGGCGAACGGGUGAGUAACACGUGAGUAACCUGCCCUUGACUUUGGGAUAACUUCAGGAAACUGGGGCUAAUACCGGAUAGGAGCUCCUGCUGCAUGGUGGGGGUUGGAAAGUUUCGGCGGUUGGGGAUGGACUCGCGGCUUAUCAGCUUGUCGGUGGGGUAGUGGCUUACCAAGGCUUUGACGGGUAGCCGGCCUGAGAGGGUGACCGGCCACAUUGGGACUGAGAUACGGCCCAGACUCCUACGGGAGGCAGCAGUGGGGAAUAUUGCACAAUGGGCGGAAGCCUGAUGCAGCAACGCCGCGUGCGGGAUGACGGCCUUCGGGUUGUAAACCGCUUUCGCUUGUGACGAAGCGUGAGUGACGGUAAUGGGUAAAGAAGCACCGGCUAACUACGU